ACAGCAGCCGCCGCGGUAAUACGAAGGGGACUAGCGUUGUUCGGAAUCACUGGGCGUAAAGCGCACGUAGGCGGAUUUGUAAGUCAGGGGUGAAAUCCCGGGGCUCAACCUCGGAACUGCCUUUGAUACUGCGAGUCUUGAGUCCGAUAGAGGUGGGUGGAAUUCCUAGUGUAGAGGUGAAAUUCGUAGAUAUUAGGAAGAACAUCAGUGGCGAAGGCGGCCAUCUGGGACAACACUGACGCUGAGGCACGAAAGCGUGGGGAGCAAACAGGAUUAGAUACCCCAGUAGUCCCUGUCUCUUAUAU
rnacentral:rRNA from 1 species